rnacentral:rRNA from 1 species
GAAUAUUGGACAAUGGGCGCAAGCCUGAUCCAGCCAUGCCGCGUGCAGGAAGACGGCCCUAUGGGUUGUAAACUUCUUUUAUCUGGGAAGAAACCUACGAUUUCUAUUGUAGCCGACGGUACCAGAGGAAUAAGCACCGGCUAACUCCGUGCCAGCAGCCGCGGUAAUACGGAGGGUGCAAGCGUUAUCCGGAUUCACUGGGUUUAAAGGGUGUGUAGGCGGGCAAUUAAGUCAGUGGUGAAAUCUCCAGGCUCAACCUGGAAACUGCCAUUGAUACUAUUUGUCUUGAAUCCUGUUGAGGUGGGCGGAAUAUAUCAUGUAGCGGUGAAAUGCUUAGAUAUGAUAUAGAACACCGAUUGCGAAGGCAGCUCACUAAACAGGCAUUGACGCUGAGGCACGAAAGCGUGGGGAUCAAA